CAAACAGUGGCCUUCAGAACCCUUUUUUUACCCUUGUUUUCAAACAGUAUCUAUUGAGUAUUUUGUUUUAUUUUCACAUGGUAAGCUUGGGGCAGGAGAAGUUGCAAGAAAUUUCCAGCUCUUGUGUUCUUUAAAAGAAUGGCAGUAUCUAAAUAGGAGUAGCAUUAGUGAUGAUACCUACAAGUAGUAGUUUUGCUCAGCUGUGUAGUUAGGGUAGAACAUGGUGCAUUACAUUUGUGUUGCUGACUGAAGCAAGGCUGCAUCCCCCUGAGAUAUUUCCUAUGGUCAAUACCCUUUUGCUGUUAAAUGGCACAACUAGCUGACCAGACUUUCCUUCUAACUUCAGUACUGUGACUCCAUUAAUUAACUUGUUACAUUUUAUCUUUUAAUAAAACAAUAGAACUCCAACACAGUCAUCAGUAUAAUAAGUUUGAGGAUUGAAUCUACUGAGGAUUGAAUUCAUCCUUCAUGUGCUGAAACAGCAGUAAGUCUUGCAUGGCAACAGCGUUGUUGUUGAACAUGCCUCUGUAGAUCAGAGCCAUGCUUUUACAACUGCUGAAAUGUGAAGCAGAAAUCUGCUGUGGCAGAGUAGAGAACACUAACGUGGCAAAAACCUGUUUAGAGAUCUGCUAAACUAACUGCUUUUUCACGUAGCACUUGAUGGCUGAAUAUGAAGAACAAUACUGUAUUUCAUAAUUUCAUAAAAAUCGGGUGAAUUAUUGUGCCUUAUUUUAUAAUCUUCAUUCUUUUCCCCCAAAUAGAGAAGGGGACAAUAUUUUGCUUCAUUUAACUUCUAAAACAAGUGGUACAGAUAAAUGAGACUGCUUAAUGGACUCUCUGGAUGCAGCUGAAUUGUUUGUUUGUUUGUUUCAUUUUAUUUUCUUGUCUGAAGAGAUUCCACCACCAGUGUGAUGAUACUACUUGUGUGACUAAAUUCAUUCAUGAGUGUAUCUGUUGUCAGUCCUUGAGCAACCUCCAAGUGGUACUUUGAAACUUAAGUCUUCAGCCCUUCACUUCUCUGCUCCCUUCCCUAUCAACUCCAACUGCACUGCAGGCCUUUGCGUGGACUAUCUCACAUCACCCUUUCAAAUUUCACAAGCUCUAGCAUUGUUCGAGAAAGUUGGUAUAAAAAAUCCUGCAACUUCAUAGGUAACUUCAAAUGUUUAGCUAAAAUUUUCAGAGUUUUGGUACUUUAUACAACAAACUGCAAAAAGUGAAUGGUGCACUAUGGGACUUUGUAACGGUCUUACUAUUCUUCCAGCUGCUGUGAAUUAUCUAUCAUAUGUCUGUGGUUGCCAAAGAUGUUUUGUUUUAGUCACCUUUGUUCUGAAACACCCUAGAAGUUCUUCAAACACUAGCUCAAAAUGUAUUAUCAGUAAGAAACAUUGCCACUGGUUUGGCAAUGAAAAGGUUAUUGAUAUGGUAAACAGAGCACUAUUGAAUCGAUCAAUCAGAAAGCUUAAAAGUUUGGUGUGACUUCUGGGCAUUGUAGUCAAUUUGCCUAUUAUAAGUAUUUAAGACACCAAGUCCUGUAACUGUACAUUUAAAGAGGUAGAAGUAAGUAGAUGUUUUGGUUAAGUCCAUGUUUCUUGUUCUCACGCUUUUGUGUUUGUUCUGAAAGACAAACUUGAUACAGCACACUAUUCACAGGACAGAUUUGUAGUUCUCAGUAACUGAUAACUCUUAAAACUACUCCAUACGAUAUACUUUUCUUGAUCAAUACUGUAUAUAUUCUGUUGUCCAAUUUAAGGGUAUUUUUAGUGAUUAUUUGUUAAACUUUUGAAAGUUGAAGCUAACAUAGUUUUCCUUAAGGAGGGUCCACUCCAAAUUAAAUAUCAGUGAUUUAGUUCUUGUUCUCAUUUAGUAUAUCUCAGGGACCAAAAUCUCCUUCUCAGUUUCCAUGUCUGUGGUUUUAACAGCAAGUUGUCACAAAAUUUGCAGAGACAACCCAAAACCCUGGCUUUGGGAUAGUAAACACUUGGCACCUGAAACUGGCCAUUGGAGUUUGCAGGCAACAGAAGCGAAAAAUGAGUUGUGUACACUUGGAAAACUUUAAAUCCCCUGCAGGUAAAGGAGUGAGGCAAUAAUCUUCAGCUUUCAUGUUUGCACCAACAGCGUGAUAAAUGCCAGCCUUAUUGGAUAGGCCAGAGGAAAAGCGUUCUUGUGCAGUGUCACUGGAUCGAUUUAGAAUGAGAGCAAAGUUCAAUGUGGGGACAAUGUGGAGAAUUUCAAAACAAAUUACAAAGAUGAGUUUAAAUGCACUAGGAGUUAAAGGGAGUGUAUAAGUGUGUGUG
rnacentral:lncRNA from 1 species